rnacentral:rRNA from 1 species
AUCUAUGGCUAUACCACCCUGAACAUGCCUGAUCUCAUCUGACCUCAGAAGCUAAGCAGGGUCAUGCCUGGUUAGUACUUGGAUGGGAAAAACUCUGACAGGCUUUUAAAA